rnacentral:rRNA from 1 species
UACGGGGGGGGGCAAGCGUUGUUCGGAAUUACUGGGCGUAAAGGGCUCGUAGGCGGCCAACUAAGUCAGACGUGAAAUCCCUCGGCUUAACCGGGGAACUGCGUCUGAUACUGGAUGGCUUGAGUUUGGGAGAGGGUAGUGGAAUUCCCGGUGUAGUGGUGAAAUGCGUAGAUAUCGGGAGGAACACCAGUGGCGAAGGCGACUACCUGGCCUGUUCUUGACGCUGAGGCGCGAAAGCUAGGGGAGCAAACGGG